UCCGAUAUGGUGUAGCGGUAACAUAUGCGCCUCUCAAGUGUGGUUAUCACGUGACGUUAUGUCACGUGGUGCAAUAACGCGCGUGCCCGGGGUUCGACUCCCCGUGUCGGAA